AAGUCAUUUCACUGAAUGAACCGAGAGGUUCUCAGGCUCCUUUUUGCUUGAAGAAGAUAAAGCUUGCUUGUAAUGAUUUUUUGUAAUUCAUUUAAUAUUUGCAGUUGUUAACAGCUUUGUAAUGUAAUUUGUCUUUCACUGUCUCCUGGAGGGAGGAGGAGGAGAGGUGAAAAUACUGUCUACUGUGUUUGAAUACAUCUAGCCAAGAUGUUUCUGCUCUUGGAGGUCACCCUAAGCUAUUCUUUGGAGAAAGAUGACAUGGAAGCCUUGAUAGCAUUAAAGCAAUCCCAAAAGGGAUUAGGAUCAGAUCUGAGGACAACAUUUCUGCUUCAAUCAAGCUGGACUGUUCCACUGCUCUUGUUUUGCAUACAAGAAUUCAAGAUGUGAAGCCAGUGUGGCAGAAGCAGCUCUGCAAUAAACACUGAAGAGGAUGACUUCACUGAGCAUUUGGCUUUUUCUUCUUUGAGAUAACAUGUGGUUAUAGAAAUAAAUCAGAGCUAGAAGGACGGAUCACUUCCCAGCCGUGCCUUUCACUUAGCAAAAUGGACUUAUCCUGCAAUGGGACAUUUUCCAUCAAAGCCAGUUGUCUGUAUGCAUCUGCACUGAGCGUGUACUCUCUUUGAAUCUGAGUCCACAGGCAGAAGUGGACACCAUGUCAGAGGAUCCUAAGUGCAAUACCUAUUGGCAUUGCCUGUUCUGCCACCAAACUGAGUCUUGGAGUAACCUGUCCUACAAGGCUUCCCUCUGCUUCUUGGAGUCUCAGUAGCGGACUGCCCUAGUUGUUGGAACAUCCAAAAUCUGUGAUCUUGAGCACUGAGUGAUUUUAAAGAAGAAGUAGGUGUUCUGCAGUAGCAUGAUCUGCACCUGCCUGUGUUAUUUCAGCAGCACAGAGGCUUUCCUCUCCACCAAGCUGCGUCUUGCACUGCAAAUCUCCCCUGAAAAGGAUUAGGAGCAGUUGUUGUUUGGCAUGUUGCCAUGUUUCAACAAGGCAAAGUGCAAGGUCCUACGCCUGGGCUGGGACAAUUCCCAGUCACAGACUGUGUCACGGAUGGAUUGAGAGCAGCCCUACAGAGAAGGACUAGAGUUCUGGUGUAGGAAAAUCUGGACGUGAGCAAGUUAGCACUUGCAGCCUGGAAAGCCAACCAUAUCCUGGGCUGCAUCAAAGAAGCGUGACCAGCAGGACAAGGGAGGUGACUGUCCCCCUCUGCUCCACUUGUGUGAUGCCCCCACCUGCAGUACUGCAUCCAGGUCUGGAACAUAAGGGACAUGGAGCCAUUGGAGCAGGUCCAGAGGAGGGCCACAAAAAAGAGAAGUCUCUGGGGAGAGCUGAGAGCAGAUUUCCAAUUUACGAGGAGAAUAUAUCAGACAGAUGGAGACACUUUUUUACCAGGGCCUGCAAAUUUCAUCAUCUGAUGUCUUUCUUUGAACUCCAAGCUUGAUAUUCUCCUCGUGCAUGGUACACCAAUGCCCAUAUAUGCUGUACUUCCAAAGAACAGAGGACAAAACAUAAAGAAGCUGUUGUUAUAUUCUUGGUAUACUUUAUGUCGCUGUUCCUACAAGCUGAGGGUGCGGUCAGACAGCAGAGCAAGGCCAGUGUCGCGCCCUGCGGAGGCUGUCUGUCCCCAUCCCUCCCCAUCCUUGCACCAGCUCCAACGCGUGUCUGUUUGCAUAGAUUGUUCAGCCCUAUACCCUGGCCAUGGGCUGUUUUCCGCCUCCCUGAGUUAGUUUCCUGCUGGCUUGAAUUGCCUUAUCGGCAUUAUCAGCCAUGAGCCAGCAGGGAGGAGAGGUGGGCUGGUGUGGACCCACUCUCCUGCAGAGCCUCUGUCAGCCCAGCCCCAGCAUCGCACCACACCCUCCGACAAAGAAGUGAAGGACACUUCAGCUGUUCCCAAGAUAGACAUCUAGAUAAUAACAGUAGACAAUAAGAGCAGUGUACUGCUCACAGGCAUUUUUGGCAGACAGCAGCAACGCGGAUAUCAGAGUCUGAAGAGCAACGCUAGCUCUAUUUGUUGUGGCAAAGCUAUUGACACAAAGGCACGCAUAUCCAAGUGCUUUUCUUUGCCUUCUGUUGCACUUUAUCUCGAUGGAUAAAGAUUUAUCUGAAUUAAUUGCAUCCUGUUAUCAUAAUGGUGGCUACUUUGAAACUGUUGGCAAUUAUACUUCAGAAAUCUGCUACUAAGAUUAGUACAUUUCACUGCAUU
ensembl:lncRNA